GCAGACGCACUGCGCCCGGCCGCAGUCCCGGGCGGGGCUUUUCCAUCGCCACAGAAACAUCCCAGGCGCUGGGACCGCUUUGACCGGUCAAGGGCGCUGCCGCUGCCCGGGACACAGUU